rnacentral:rRNA from 1 species
AGGUUUCCGUAGGUGAACCUGCGGAGGGAUCAUUC